rnacentral:lncRNA from 1 species
UAGAUUCCAUUUAAAUUUAUCCAUGUAAGAACAAAGUAAUUUAAAAACAUAAAACUAAGAGAAUAAGCAAAAAAACAAAAACCAAAAAAAUAAAUAAUACCUAUGUGUUUUUAACCGACUACCUCCCUACCUUACUAGCGCAAACAAACCAGUUGUAUUAAGUAACGAUUUUAGUCAAAAUAACACACCGGACAUUCUUAUAGUUACAGAAGAUUUUUAUAGGCUCCUGCUUUCUGAUUGGUCGAACCAGGCCUCCCACGGAUCACGCUUCUCCACCAUCCAUUCUUACCCGAUCCAACGGUCCCUGCUCUUUCUACUACUCUAUUUGUGCUUUCCCUGAUCCUUAUCUUCUCACACGUACGCGAGCACCGUACAAGUAGUAGCCGCGCCGCCGCGCCCGAGGAACCUCUGAGCUCGCCGCCGUUCGCGCGACGGGCUGCCAUCCGCGCCUCCCGCCGCAGCACGCCGGUGAGCCGUGCUUCGCGCUGUCUCCCUUUCUCUCUCUCUCUGUUGCUCUCCUCUCUCAUCUCUUCCUCUGCCUCUCCUUGCAGCAAUGGAGGCCGAGCCCCCAUGGUGGUACCCGAGAUCACCUCCCAGCCGCUGUUCUCCUUCGAAUUCGUCGGGAUCCGGCCGGAUCCGGCAGGAUCCGGACGUCGGCAACCAAUUCACGACCUCCUCGCCUCGCCUGGGUCGUUGGCCACUCCGAUGUCAUCAUCUCGCUCGCGAGAUCCAGCGCUACCGAUGGCUGGCCUCCUCCUCGCCUGGAUGUGACGUCCCCACACCGGCGCCUCCAACUUGAGCAGCAGCAGUGAACACGUCGGCAAGGGCGUCUCCGGCAUCGUCAUUAUUUUUAUUUUAUUUUAAAGAAGUUUGCCUCGCCAGAAAAGCAUAGCGACGAACUCUGAUUGAUUCCCCGCGAGCGCUGGGCGGUGCUUGAUGUGGUGGCUUUAGGCCUUGUACAAUGGGAGAUGCUUAGGGGAGGUGCUUAGAGAAAUAAACCAGACUUAUUUGUACAGGAUAGACGCUUAACUAAGCGUCUCUCCGGUAGAAAUAGGCACCGGUAUUUCAGAAAAUUUCGGUUUAUUUUUCUAAGCACCCCUCUAAGCAUCUCUCAUUGUACAAGGCCUUAGAGUGCCAAUUCUGGAAACAACAAUCUAUAAUUCCAAGUUUUUUUCGGUGUAUUUCUUCCUUCUUUAUAAACAAGUUAUUCAUGUGUUUAUGCGAUUUCCUUUAUUCUUAUAUAAGGCAAUGGGCAUAUAUUCCUUUGUUUCCAUGGACCAAGAGAAACAAAGUGGUGUGCCAUGUUUCAAUGAAAUUUGUGGGCCCUUUCACUGGUCUGAAAUGUAAUGGGCUAAAAUUCUUAUGGGCUGAUGAAAACAUGGGCCGACGGUCUUAACGAGUUGAAAUUUG